UGGGGAAUAUUGCACAAUGGAGGAAACUCUGAUGCAGCGACGCCGCGUGAGCGAAGAAGUAUCUCGGUAUGUAAAGCUCUAUCAGCAGGGAAGAAAAAAUGACGGUACCUGACUAAGAAGCCCCGGCUAACUACGUGCCAGCAGCCGCGGUAAUACGUAGGGGGCAAGCGUUAUCCGGAUUUACUGGGUGUAAAGGGAGCGCAGGCGGAAGGCUAAGUCUGAUGUGAAAACCCGGGGCUCAACCCCGGGACUGCAUUGGAAACUGGUCAUCUGGAGUGUCGGAGAGGUAAGUGGAAUUCCUAGUGUAGCGGUGAAAUGCGUAGAUAUUAGGAGGAACACCAGUGGCGAAGGCGGCUUACUGGACGACAACUGACGCUGAGGCUCGAAAGCGUGGGGAGCAAACAGGAUUAGAUACCCUGGUAGU
rnacentral:rRNA from 1 species